GUCUCAGAAAUACAACCAGCUUGUUCACCCUUUUUGCAAACCUCUUUUCAGGCUUGGACAACCUGGCUGCGACAGUGGAACCCUCCUAAAAAACGGGUGCCAAGAGACAUAACUGGUGUUGUGGGAACAGAAUUGGGAAUCAAUUCAGAGCUCCAGUUACCUUACAUGAACUUUUAGAAUCCAAUCUCAUGUUGAUUCACAAGCUACUGCCUACUCCCAUUGGGAUGAACCUUACUUUGGUAAAGCAACCAUUACUUCAUCAAGAUCUAAUAGAGAUCCUAGGAAAAAUCAAGGAGAAUGGACAGAAAACUCUGUCCUGAAGACUCCACGACGACACCAUGGAACCCUGCUGAUGAAGAUCUUUCGAGGGCAAUCGUCACUCACGGGGUGGUGUAAGAGCCCGUCUGAAGCCCCUCAUUUUCCAUUCUGCCUUCCGAUUGCCACAAGAAAGAAUCCCUUCCUCCACUGCAGUUCCGGCUUAGAACAGGACACAGUGCAGGUGCAACCACUGAACCGUCAUGCUGGCUGAUCCCAACAAGGCCUGGUAAGAACUUGGCAAGGACUUGGCAAGGACUUGGCAAAGACCUGACGUGGACCCAGCACGGGGCAGCCUGAUGCGCGGCCUGCUUCUAAUCUCCGUUCUUAAGCCAAAUGAACUUUUGGGGUGACUCCCGGGGUCCUUCAUUGAAGACCCCUCAUCUGCCUCGUUACCAGUGUGACAAACAAAGAAUGAGAACCCUCCUCCCAAGGACUGAGACUGAGACCCCUGCUAUAGAGAGGAGGGGAAAUUGGUGGUCUGACCACUAAUGACAUGACCUGUUUCCCUUCAGUGAUUCAAAUGGACUUAUUCUUCAUUGGAUUCGUCUUGCUUUGGUGGUUUCUGUGGACUCACCUGUUCCCGCGUGGCGAUUACAAUGGACUUUCGUUGUUACACUUGCUCCCCCCUCUUUCCUCUGUGGACUAUAACUGGAGCCCCGAGUCGACCAGAACUUCGGAGACUCCCCCGACAAGACAGACGGAUCCCCAUCGUCCGGACCACUGAGGAUCUCGCCUGUGUUGGUAGCUAUUCCCAUACCCCUCUUCUCUCUCUCUCUCUCUCUCCUUUUAUCUCCUUUCCGAUCCCCACUAUCGCAUUUACUGUUUUGGCCCCUAAUAAAGGUGCAUUUGUUGUGAUUAA